UAAUAAGUGUUUUAUGGCACUUUUUAAAUCCAUAGUCCACCUUGUGUGCAAUGUCAGUCGAUCUUCUUCAUGGAGAUCGACCAAACAUCAACCUUUAUCUUUUAACUCUUUGUCUGAAAAAUAUUAUGAAUAAACAAUUCAAAAUA
rnacentral:misc_RNA from 1 species